CGCAAGGCCCCAGAGCCCCGUCCAGAACCACCGGCCCUCACCAGGAAAUGAGGAGGGCUGACCACACCUUUCAGGUGAACUGGUUAGGAAGGGAAAUUACCGCCAACCACCGUUUGUAAAAAUGCGUUGAGAAACACCAGAAAGCCUUGGCGCAGGGGGCUUCCCAAGUGUCCCCACCCACCUCCGGGACUAGGAAGCCGCCACAGACCACGAGGACAGUUGACAGAGAGGCAGUUUCACAGAAAGCCCUCGCCCAGACUUCAAAACAGCCGAGAAUGCCCUUCUCGAGCUCGAAGAAUGCCUGGAAUUCAGUGGCCUUUAUCCAACAUAAAGAUCUCCAACUCAGUGCUGACUUCGUCCCUAUAGAAGAACCCCGCAGCCUUGAGCACCGACAACAACCCGCAUGUUAAAGGGAAGGGGGGGGAACCCUCGAAGGCUCUUGGGCGCUGGGGACACAGAUCGCGGCUCCGCGGGCUCCGGGAGUGUGCAGUCCCGGGCUCUCGGCUGUGUGGGGUGUGCGGGCCCCGUGGCUGGGACCCGCCGGAGACUCCGCAGGCAACCCCACCUGCUUGCAACUAACCCGCGCCUCCUUCGGCCCCACGGCACCAGCUCCUGCCCCCUUAAAGCUGGCUGCGCCAACAGAAACCAGAGGCCCUUCUAUCCUGGUUAAAGAGAGGCUCAACAGAAAGUGAAACGGUCCCUGUUCCUUGGGGGAGAAGGCGCCAGACCAGGAAUGGGUUACGGGAUAUGGAAACCCCAGCAGCUGGGUCACUCUUCAGAGAGACACUGUGGGUAGCAUUCAGGGAAAAGGAAGCCACCUUUCCUCCGCCUCGGAGAGGUUCCAGAUCCCCGAGGUCAUACAGCUCUGCUGAACUUGGGGAGGCUAGGCCCUGUCAUUCUCCAAAAAGCUUCCAAAAGCUUUGCUGCCCUAGCUACUGUCGCCGAGCCUCGACGUUUCCAGCACGCUCGAAGCAAGCGUUUCGUUCCUAAAAGCCCACGCGUGGAAUCAUCGCUCUAGGAGUCUACAUAAUACUAUUCUAUAUUAUUAUGUUGGAAUUUACUGGAAGGACACAUAAAGGAAGACUUGAGAAAACAGUGCAAAGGACAGGUGCCGGAGAAACUUGAUUACCAGCCCCCAGAGGCACGUGGGCAGCCUUUGAAGAUGCUGUCUUUGGCUGACUCACUUGCAGAUGCCUCCAGCCCCCAUGUGUUUCUACUCUAAAUUCAAACUUCUGAGAGAGAGAGAAACUGAUUGGCCUGUCUUGGGUCACGGGCCUACCCCUGACUUGACUUAGGGGGUUGGAUCCCAUGAUUGGAAAGCCCAUCGGAAUCAGAUGAGUUAGGAUCAGUCCCGCAGAGUGCUGUUAGCAGGAGAAAGCAGAGAGCUUGCAAAACAGGGAGGAAAGGUUUUAUA